GCUCGAGUGGUGGAAUUGGUAGACACGAUGGAUUCAAAAUCCAUUGUCUUCGGACGUGGGGGUUCAAGUCCCCCCUCGAGUA
rnacentral:tRNA from 1 species